UCCCUUGGGCUUUAUUUGUGUCUGUCUGUUUUCCCCUGCUGUCUCUGUGUCUCGUUAACCCUGAUCCCAGUCACCUGUGUUGCUCCCACCCUGCUCAUUAACCCCUGUGUAUAAAUAUUUGGUGUUUCUGUUCAUGUGUUGUUCAGGUGUUUUGUUGUGUCCUGACGCUCUGCAGUGUUUUGCCCGCCUUGUUCUGUCGUGUUGCAUCUCCCUGUUUCCCAGUGUUUUGUGGAUUUAGUAUUUUCCUUGUGGAUCACUUUUAUUUUGGAUUUCCUGGACUCAGUCACUACAUUUGCUUGCUCUGACAAGAAACAACUCAGGCCACUGUGUACACUCUCAUUCAUGGAUGACAGUGACAUUAUCUUGCCUCCAGAUCCGCCACUUGCACUGCUGAUGCUACUGCUUCGACAUAUCCCACUGCUGUCUCGACUCCCAGGUGGCACCCCUCCACUGCCCCCAGGCUUGGGCAUCUACAAGUUGAUGUCAAAACAAAAGCUGGUGUCAAAAUCAAACAGGAGUGUGAUAGAGCCAUGACAAUAAAUACCACCUCCACCAAUGUGAGUGGGUCGGACAAUCAUCAGGACAUCAUCAGCUAACCCUCCUCUCAACCCUUCCCACUGCCAUGUACAUCAUGGCUUGCAACAUAAUCACAGCUGUGUUUCAUGGUCUCUGCUCUGUCUCUACUGUCUGCAUUAUUGAAGUACAAACUCUGAAUAAUUUAUGGGCGAGUUAAGUAUUGUGCAUGACGUACUGAUGUGCUUUACUUAAGUGUCUCUGCAGAUGAAAAGAUGAACAUGCACACAUGCCCAUGACAAUGCCAUUUAAAACAGUGCAAGAUCCAUACUCACACACUAGGUGCCUGGGUAGACAUCUGUGGAAUUGUGGCAUGCAUUUGGGGAGACAUAGCACUGUUGGCUGAAGGAAGAAUUGAAAGACAAGAUGAUCUUUUUAGAUCUGACAGUAUCACAAUAAAGUUGUCAGGAUCAUACAAGGAGACAAAUAGGUAGCAAAGUGAGUAUAGGCUUAGAUAAUGUGACACUGAUGGUGUUGAAUUAGGAACACAAUAAACUGUCUGUAAAAGUUGUUUAUCCUGAAAACAUACCCUAGUUUGUUGCUUUUUCUCAUUGUCAUUUUUGUAGUAAAAGCUAUUCAAUACAUUUCCCUUCUGUAAAUGCUUCCAUUAUAAAUGAUGAGUAUAGAUAUGGCGAAUGCUGAUUAGAUGGUCCAUCUGCACUGGGAAGAGUUGAUUUAUUUUUAAGGACUGCCCAAAUUUUAUCAGGUGGGGAGGGUGAUUCAGGAAAAAGGGUGGGUUAUGUGUUUUUCUUUAUUCUGCUGAAGGGAAUAUUUUCUCCUCCUGCAUUUAUAAUUAAUUUAAUUCUUCCCUUGUGAAAGACUCCUCUGCAAUAUAAGAAAGACCCUUCCCAGAAUAUCUGAGCAGGCGCCGUGUGCGUAUUUACUCAGUUGCCUCAAAAUCUGUUUAGAAGGCAGUGUGCAGUACAUACUAAUUCAGUAUGUGGUAGGCAGUACGUUGGCAUGCGAUUUCGAACACAGCCCUAGAGUUUGUGACUAGCAAAGAGAGGGCAAGCAAUCUACACAUGUAGAUCGCUGCUCUGGUUCAGGUGGUAGAGUGGGUUUUCUAGUUAUCGGAGGGUCUGUGGUUCGAUUCCCCCAGUGCAGAAAACAGUGUAAGAUUAGAAUUCAAACUAGACUGUAGAGAACCAAUAAAAAUAAUUUUAGUGGUUGGUCAUUAAGUCCUUUUUUGACAAAGUUCAGAUCUGAGCUAAUCACCAGCACAAAAUAAUUUGUUAGUUGGCAUAUCUCUAAUUAAACCAGUACUGAAAACUAAAUAAUCUUAUCCUGUUUACGAAGCCCAGAUUAGUUUAGAGCAUGCAUAUCUUAUGAACGUGUCAAACACGGGUUGUAUGUCCAUCAGUAGAGACCCAUGGCAUAUGCUUGUCUCCUGUAUAAAAAAAAAAGCACCUUCUAUUUAUAACAUUACAUCACACAAAAAAUGAAAUACAAUACAGUACUUUGUGGUUAA